rnacentral:tRNA from 1 species
UCUUCCAUAGCUCAGUUGGCUAGAGCGUCUGACUGUUAGAAUUAAUUCCCUUGUGGCGUUAAUCAGCAAAUCAGGAGGUCGUAAGUUCGAGCCUUACUGGAAGAG